UACGUAGGGUGCGAGCGUUAAUCGGAAUUACUGGGCGUAAAGCGUGCGCAGGCGGUGAUGUAAGACAGGUGUGAAAUCCCCGGGCUUAACCUGGGAACUGCAUUUGUGACUGCAUCGCUGGAGUGCGGCAGAGGGGGAUGGAAUUCCGCGUGUAGCAGUGAAAUGCGUAGAUAUCAGGAGGAACACCGAUGGCGAAGGCAGGUCUCUGGGCUGACACUGACGCUCAUGCACGAAAGCGUGGGGAGCAAACAGG
rnacentral:rRNA from 1 species